UACGUAGGGACCAAGCGUUGUUCGGAUUUACUGGGCGUAAAGGGCGCGUAGGCGGCGUGACAAGUCACUUGUGAAAUCUCUGAGCUUAACUCAGAACGGCCAAGUGAAACUGUUGUGCUAGAGUGCAGAAGGGGCAAUCGGAACUCUUGGUGUAGCGGUGAAAUGCGUAGAUAUCGGAAGGAACAUCAGUGGCGAAGGCGACUUCCUGGACCAAUACUGACGCUCAGGUGCGAAAGCGUGGGGAGCAAACAGG
rnacentral:rRNA from 1 species